rnacentral:misc_RNA from 1 species
GGAAGGAUCAUAUCGAAUAAACUUGAACAGGCUGUUGCUGGCUUCCUCCCAACUGGGGGGAGGUGUGUGCACGCUUGUCAUCUUUAUCUUCUCCAACUGUGCACCUUUUGUAGACCUGGAGGUUUUUUGAUUUGCUCGAUUGAGGAUUUGCUGUGCUUUGAAAAAAGUCGGCUUGCCUUGCAUUUCCAGGUCUAUGCUAUUUUUCACAACCUCUUGUUCAGAAUGUUGAAAUUGGGUAUCAUCUUGUACCUAUAUAAAGUUGAAUAUACAACUUUCAGCAACGGAUCUCUUGGCUCUCGCAUCGAUGAAGAACGCAGCGAAAUGCGAUAAGUAAUGUGAAUUGCAGAAUUCAGUGAAUCAUCGAAUCUUUGAACGCAUCUUGCGCUCCUUGGUAUUCCGAGGAGCAUGCCUGUUUGAGUGUCAUUUAACUUCUCAACCACAAUCAAUUUCUUUGGUCGUGGCUUGGAUGAUGGGGGUUUUAUUUUUUUGCAGGCUUUGGAAACAAGGUCUGCUCCCCUGAAAUGCAUUAGUGGUAUCUGAGCAGUAACUACUACAGGUGUGAUAAUUUAUCUAUGCCUUUGGUUACCACUGCGUGAACAGAUUACACUGCUUCUGAAAUCAUGUUUUGACAAAUUUGACCUCAAAUCAGGUAGGACUACCCGCUGAACUUAAGCAUAUCAAUAAGCGGAGGAA